ncrna:Nicotiana tabacum cultivar TN90 Ntab-TN90_scaffold1637, whole genome shotgun sequence
UGAUGCAAUCAUACCAGCACUAACGCACUAGAUCGCGUCAGAAUUCCAAAGUAAAGCGUGUUUCAGUUAGAGUGGUACUAGGAUCAAGGAUGGAUGACCCCCUGAAAAGUCCUCGUGUAACAUCUC